GUAAGACUGGAAACAUCUGGGCUGAAUGGACUUUAGCAUCAAAAGAAGUUCCCAACUGUUAACUCGAAAAAUUGACUACAUUAAAAUGAAGCAGGUACCAGAGAUCCUUGGAAAUACCAAUGGGAAAACUCAGAAUUGUGAAGUGAAUCGUGAGUGUUCUGUCUACUUGGGCAAAGCACAACUUUCUGCCACUCUACAAGAAGGUGUCAUGCAAAAAUAUAAUGGCCAUGAUGCCCUUCCAUUUAUUCCAGCUGAUAAAUUGAAAGAUCUGACCUCUCGUGUGUUUAAUGGCGAGUCUGGGGCCCAAGAUGCCAAGCUGCGCUUUGAACCCCAGGAAAUAAAGGGAGUUGGAACACCACCCAACACUACUCCUAUCAAAAAUGGCUCUCCAGAAAUUAAGCUGAAAAUCACUAAAACCUACAUGAAUGGAAAGCCUCUUUUUGAAUCUUCCAUUUGUGGAGACAAUGGUGCAGAUGUGUCUCAGUCAGAGGAAAAUGAACAAAAGCCACCAAACAAGGAGAGGAGAAACAGAAAAAGAAGCAUAAAAUAUGACUCCUUACUUGAGCAGGGUCUUGUUGAAGCAGCAUUAGUAUCAAAGACUUCAAGCCCCACUGAAAAGAAG